AGGAGCCCGGCGACGGGAGACCGUCACGCCGGGAUCUGUGGGGGCCGGGAGGGGUCCUCCCGGCUACCCGAC
rnacentral:ncRNA from 1 species